rnacentral:rRNA from 1 species
AUAUCAAUAAGCGGAGGAAAAGAAACUAACCAGGAUUCCUUAGUAACGGCGAGCGAAACGGGAAGAGUCCAACUUGAAAAUCUCCAGCUUUCAGCUGGCGAAUUGUAGUCUAGAGAAGUAUUCUCUGUGGCCAGCCAUGCCCAAAUUCCCUGGAACGGGAUGUCAGAGAGGGUGAGAGCCCCGUCGGCAUGGUGUUGGCCGCUCCACGAGAUGCUUUCGCAGAGUCGGGUUGUUUGGGAAUGCAGCCCUAAUUUGGUGGUAAGUCCCAUCUAAGACUAAAUACUGGCGAGAGACCGAUAGCGCACAAGUA